rnacentral:rRNA from 1 species
AUUGAACGCUGGCGGCAUGCCUUACACAUGCAAGUCGAACGGUAACAGGUCUUCGGAUGCUGACGAGUGGCGAACGGGUGAGUAAUACAUCGGAACGUGCCCGAUCGUGGGGGAUAACGAAGCGAAAGCUUUGCUAAUACCGCAUAAGAUCUACGGAUGAAAGCAGGGGACCGCAAGGCCUUGCGCGAACGGAGCGGCCGAUGGCAGAUUAGGUAGUUGGUGGGAUAAAAGCUUACCAAGCCGACGAUCUGUAGCUGGUCUGAGAGGACGACCAGCCACACUGGGACUGAGACACGGCCCAGACUCCUACGGGAGGCAGCAGUGGGGAAUUUUGGACAAUGGGCGAAAGCCUGAUCCAGCCAUGCCGCGUGCAGGAUGAAGGCCUUCGGGUUGUAAACUGCUUUUGUACGGAACGAAAAGACUCUUUCUAAUAAAGAGGGUCCAUGACGGUACCGUAAGAAUAAGCACCGGCUAACUACGUGCCAGCCGCCGCCGUAAGAC